rnacentral:rRNA from 1 species
UGUGUAGGCGGUCCGGUAAGUCGGUUGUGAAAGUCCAGGGCUCAACCCUGGGAUGCCGAUCGAUACUGCCGGACUAGAGUCCGGAAGAGGCGAGUGGAAUUCCCGGUGUAGCGGUGAAAUGCGCAGAUAUCGGGAGGAACACCAAUGGCGAAGGCAGCUCGCUGGGACGGUACUGACGCUGAGACGCGAAAGCGUGGGAGCAAACA